UACGAAGGGGGCUAGCGUUGCUCGGAAUCACUGGGCGUAAAGCGCACGUAGGCGGGUUCUUAAGUCAGGGGUGAAAUCCUGGAGCUCAACUCCAGAACUGCCUUCGAUACUGGAAAGCUCGAGUCCGGGAGAGGUGAGUGGAACUGCGAGUGUAGAGGUGAAAUUCGUAGAUAUUCGCAAGAACACCAGUGGCGAAGGCGGCUCACUGGCCCGGUACUGACGCUGAGGUGCGAAAGCGUGGGGAGCAAACAGG
rnacentral:rRNA from 1 species